GUGUGUGGCUCAGUGGUAGAACACUUGCCUAGCCUGUGCGAGGCCCUGGGUUCAAUCCCCUGCACCACA
rnacentral:tRNA from 1 species